GGCCGCGCGCACGUGAGCGCGCCGCUCCGCCUGUCUAAUUUUAGCUCUGAGGUGUCAGGGUCGUGCGAGGUGAGGCGGCGGGGUCGCAACGGGCUCGGGUGGGGUCCUCACGUGACUCCGUGAGGCGGCAUGCUCAGGUGGGGGUUCCCCUCAGGACUGGGGGGCCGGAGUCACGUGAGGUGAGGCGGGUCGUGAUGGGUUUGGGUAAGGGUCCCCUCGCGACGAGGAUGGGGUUGCAUGAGGUGAGGCGGCAAGCCCUGGUCCUCUUGGUGAGCGGGGUCUUCAGGUCACGUGAAGUGACUGCACAAGGUCUCCACAGCUCGGACACGGGACCCCUCAGGAGUGGGUCGCCAGGUUCAUCUGAGGUGAGGCGUUGUGUGGGGUGUCCUCUCCGGGUCACGUAGGUGCACCCGUGGGGUCAGUCGGCAGAGCCCGGGGCAGCUGAGCCCGACUGUGUGGACAGCCCUUGCACUGCAGGUCCAGAGCGAUGUCAGUCAGAGAGGUGUGGCAUCUGGGUCUGUGGGCCACACCUCUUUCAACCGAAGCAAGUUCUAGAAAGUCCCCUGGUGGGUGAAACUUAUCAGAGUUCAAGUUUAGGUAGUGUUGGGUUGUAAUGAAAACUUGUGAAGAGCGAGAGUAAACGUGGUGGCUGACCCUGCGACCAGCUGAGGAGACCCUGGCCCGGGGUCUUACUAAGGGGCUUCCGAUCUCUGUAUCUUCCCUGCUGAACUCAAGAUGGUUUCCUGCAUGUCUGUGAGGAGUGGAGGAGGACAUGUCUGUCAUCCAGAGUAACCGGGUCAAGGAUGUGUGGUUAGAUUGGAAAGGAAGACAUCUGCUUGCAUCAGCUCAACUUUGAAGACAGGGGGUGCACUGACCCCCACCCUCUCUCCCAUCUCACAUGAGGAUGACCAGAGAGGGUUGGUGUUCGAGAUUUGCCAUAAUGUGUGGGAUCAGGAACCAGAUAAAAGUUUAGUGUUGAAGAAAUGAAUGCCAGGCACCUUGUAAAAUUGGCACCGCAGCCCUGUCAUCAGAAAGUGAGCUGUUCUUUUGACACACAGAGUUGUUUGCCAUGUCACAGUGACCUGCAUUCUGUUAGUGAGGGAGCCUCAGGUUUCACAUGGGUUGUCUCUGUAUAAGCUGUAAAAUGAUAGCCUCUGGCCUUUAUGGUAUUGGGAAACUUGAAGUGUUUAAUGAUAAAAGUGGUUUCUAAUGGUUGAGUGCUUCAGUUUCUUCUUUCCAACCCCCUAUCCCCACUUUUUAAAAGAAAGGUUAAUCGUGGAGAAUGUGACAAGAAUGAGAGAAUCUGGUGUGUUCUUUCGUUUGCAUUCCAAAAAUAAAUACAACCCUUCUGAGUUCAUAUGCAAACAUGGAUGUGCAAACAUUUUAGAACUUUAGUCCCUGUAAUUAUCCACCUCUAACCAGUUUAAAGGACCUGAAGGUUGGGCUGGAAAGAUGACUUAGCAGUUAAGAGCACUGGCUGCUCUUCCAGAGGACCACAUGGCAACUCACAGCUGUCUGUAACCCCUGUUCCAGGGGACCAACUCCCUCAUACAUGCAGGCAAAACACAAUGUACAUAAAAUAAAAAUAUUAGAAAAGACUUGAAGAUUAAAAUCCAGUAUUGGCAUUUUAUAUAGCAAUAGCUGGCUCUUGACCAGUGUUUCAACCU
ensembl:lincRNA D730003I15Rik RIKEN cDNA D730003I15 gene